rnacentral:rRNA from 1 species
GACGAACGCUGGCGGCGUGCUUAACACAUGCAAGUCGAACGAAGUGGAGAACGGGUGAGUAACGCGUAAUCAACCUGCACUUCAGAGGGGGACAACAGUUGGAAACGACUGCUAAUACCGCAUACUGAAGGAGGGGAUUGCGUCUGAUUAGCUAGGUGGAGGGGUAACGGCCCACCAAGGCGAUGAUCAGUAGCCGGUCUUGGAGGAUGAACGGCCACAUUGGGACUGAGACACGGCCCAUACUCCUACGGGAGGCAGCAGUGGGGAAUCUUUCGAAAUGGACGAAAGUCUGACGGAGCAACGCCGCGUGAGUGAUGACGGCCUUCGGGUUGUAAAGCUCUGUUAAUCGGGACGCGGUACCGGAAUAGAAAGCCACGGCUAACUACGUGCCAGCCACCGCGGUAAUAC